AAGCCUCUGUGCUGGGAGCGGAGAGUCUCCACCUGUCUGCUCUUCCUCUCGGUGGCUCCAGGCUCUGCAGCCCAGAGUUUAUCCAUCCAGAGAGAGCACCAGCUACAUUUCCACAUCAUCAGCUGGAACCUCAGCAACCCGGAGCCCACAUCCUCGGAGUACACCGCCCUGCUGAGGGACACCCAGGACCAGAAUAUUCUCCCAACAGAGAUGACACCUUGACUGAGAAGCCUGGUAAACCUGCAGGAAGCCCCAGCCCACAGUAGGGGGCGAGUAUCUUGAUGCUGUGCCUCAUUGAAGAGAACCAUGCGCACAGGGUCUUGGAUGAUGAGGAAAGUUGGCCAACCCUUGUCAAGGACAGUUGAGGCACAGUGGGGUCAGCAGGAGCCCUGGGGCGAUGACAGGAGGUGGCUCACCCCACCAUUUGUCUCCCCAGACCUCCCCUUCUGGGCCCUCAUCCUCAUCUGCUUGGCGGGAAUCCUGGUGCUCAUCACAGGCCUGAUCUGCUGUCUCCUGGUUGCAAUGCAGGCAGGGAUUAACUUGGGG